AACGAACGCUGGCGGCAGGCCUAAAACAUGCAAGUCGAACGAUCUAGCAAUAGAUAGUGGCGCACGGGUGAGUAACACGUGGGAAUAUCCCUUUCACUACGGAACAACGUCGGGAAACUGACGCUAAUACCGUAUAAUGUCUCCGGACCAAAGAUUUAUCGGUGAAAGAUUAGCCCGCGUCUGAUUAGCUAGUUGGUGAGGUAACGGCUCACCAAGGCAACGAUCAGUAGCUGGUCUGAGAGGAUGAUCAGCCACACUGGAACUGAGACACGGUCCAGACUCCUACGGGAGGCAGCAGUUAGGAAUAUUGGACAAUGGGGGCAACCCUGAUCCAGCCAUGCCGCGUGUGUGACGAAGGCCUUAGGGUUGUAAAGCACUUUCGUCUACGAAGAUAAUGACAGUAGUAGAAGAAGAAGCUCCGGCUAAAUUCGUGCCAGCCGCCGCUGUAA
rnacentral:rRNA from 1 species